UAACACCCCAGGAGGAAGACCAAAAAAGGGGGCUCUGUAUUUUUAGGGGUGACGGAAUACUUCCGGCCCGUGAAGGCUUGAGAUGUUAAUUAUAGGACCUGUGGAUGUCAGCAGAGCUCUUUUAAGAGAACAGCUUAAGAGCCUCCAACACAGAGCCCGUUUUAGAAAUGGCCGACAAAGACAGCACAAGCGAAAUACGCAAGAGCCUGCUACGCAGGGCGGUGCCCGGCAACAGGCGCAGCCUCCCCCUACGCCGUUGCUAGGAGACCGGAGAGCCACACUUCCAUCAUCUCCAUCCUUGCUGUGAGGUUGAGUAAUUGGUGUCUGGAUGUGCGUGUGCUGGUUCCCAAAAUAUCUCUUUCCAAAGACGUGAGAGGAGCACCAAGAGAGAUUCCACAGAUCACAGCAGUGAGGGGCUCCAUUCAUUGUGUUGAGCCCAUUGAUGAUGUAUGUUUUCUGCAGAAGAGGAGAGGCACCUCACCGUUAAUCUCUCUGCCUCCUUAGAAAGUUCUUUUGCCCUUGUGCCAAGCAUGAGAUGAAGGCUGGGGAAUAGGAGACCCGAGCCCAUGGGCAGUAGUUCGGAGGAGGCAGAUGUUGGUUCAGCACCAGGAAGUCCUUGCUAAGGAAGUACUGUGAAAUGCAAAUGGACUGGUGUCACUUUGAAAUCAGCCAAGAUGCAGUGGAUCUUAGUAAAGCAAUGGACCUCAAAACAGAUUGCAAAACAAGAACUGGUGUAAGCCAUCCAAAACCAAGAAGAACAGUAAUAAUAAUAAAUAAAUAGAAGUGAAUCCAUAGAAACUCUCGAUGUCUGUACAGCAGAAGUGACAAAGUAGUGGCAGAGAAAAGAGGAGAAGGAAAGAGAACAAGACAUCUUCCAUCCACUGGUUCACUCCCUAGUGCAACAGCCAAGUCUGGGCCAGAGUGAAGCCAGGAUUGAAGAACUCCAUCCAAGUCUCCCACACGGAUGCAAGGACCCAAGCACUUGGGCCAUCUUCCACUGCUUUCCCAGGCACAUGAGCAGGCAGCUGGAUCAUAAGUGGAGCGCCUGGGACGUCAGUGUCACAAGAAGUGGUUUAACCUCCCCCCUUCCCAAUGCUGAUCCCAUCGUCAAAAAUACUUUUAAAAAUAUUAUUUGAAAUUCUCUUUCUCUCAGAAUGAGCGAGGAGCAAAUAUGAUAAUUGAUUAGGUAGAUUCUUACCUUAUAUAUUACCAUAUAUCAUCUAUCUACAUCUAUAUUAUAUAUCUCUAUAUACCUAUAUAUAACCAGAUAGAUAGAUAGAAACCCUUACCCAUACUUCUUGGUUGGAAGAAGACUCUAAUUAACAAAAUAACUGACAGCAGGGAGUGCUGUAUUCAUAACAAACAAUGUAC